AUUAUAACAAUGGAGAUUAAUGUUUUAGAUAGGUUUAUCCGAGGCGUGAUUAUUGCUAGUUGAAAACUUUUCCCAAUACCCUGCCAUGAUGACUUGAAAUACAGUCAGCAUUGGCAACUUUUGAUAGUCUCUGAGGAGA